rnacentral:rRNA from 1 species
CACGUAGGGUGCGAGCGUUGUCCGGAAUUAUUGGGCGUAAAGAGCUCGUAGGCGGUCCGUCACGUCGGAUGUGAAAUUCCAGGGCUCAACCCUGGACCUGCAUUCGAUACGGGCGGACUAGAGUUCGGUAGGGGAGACUGGAAUUCCUGGUGUAGCGGUGAAAUGCGCAGAUAUCAGGAGGAACACCGGUGGCGAAGGCGGGUCUCUGGGCCGAUACUGACGCUGAGGAGCGAAAGCGUGGGGAGCGAACAGG